GCGGAAAGCGAAACAGCUCCAUGCUAGUUGUUGAGGAUGGAUUUCUGGAAGUAAAAUGACCACGUGAAAGGGAAUGAGUAUUUUCAAGUUGUCCAUAUGAUCUCCAGAGAGGUUUUAUAUUCACUUUCCCUUUGGGCUGCUGUAAAGGAAAAUGGGAAUCAGCACCUACUUCGAAGGAAGUGAAGGGGUGCAGGGAAUGAGAUGGUGUUAGACGAGACGCACCAUCUACACAUUUGCUAUUAUUUAAAGCAACAUCCAAACCAUCGUAGAAGUGUUUUGCUUGGGAAAACUGGAGGAGGAGACAGGAUUCCCUAAUAUCACAGUGACCUACAGAGAGGGACAAAAGUACAGGUUCUCUACCCAGAAGUACCUUCAACCCCUUUCUAAGGAAACCUCCUCUGAGAUCCACUUGCCCACUAACCCCAGCUAUCAGGACCCAGCAAUUCUGCCAAGCACCUUCAAAUCUAGCAAGUCAUGCUGGCUUUCUGCUUCAGGUGGGGCCUUAGCAACUGGCUCCAAAUUAAAAUAAAGUGAUGAUCCUUUGCAGGGAGAAAGUGUGAGAAUUUUCAGUUGCCUGGUAGACUUUUGUGGACUACUAUUGCUUUUGAGGUAUUAGGAGACUAACGAUGACAAUGGGAGCAUCUCAAGAUCUCUUCAAGCUCACCCUCAUUGUCUUUAUGUCAGGUACCUUUCAGUUUCU
rnacentral:lncRNA from 1 species